rnacentral:rRNA from 1 species
UACGGGGGGGGCAAGCGUUGUUCGGAAUUACUGGGCGUAAAGGGCUCGUAGGCGGCCAACUAAGUCAGACGUGAAAUCCCUCGGCUUAACCGGGGAACUGCGUCUGAUACUGGAUGGCUUGAGUUUGGGAGAGGGAUGCGGAAUUCUUGGUGUAGCGGUGAAAUGCGUAGAUAUCAAGAGGAACACCUGAGGUGAAGACGGGUUGCUGGGCUGACACGUGACGCUGAGGCGCGAAAGCCAGGGGAGCAAACGGG